rnacentral:rRNA from 1 species
ACGCUCGACACCUACGGGGGCAGCAGUGGGGAAUAUUGCACAAUGGGGGAAACCCUGAUGCAGCGACGCCGCGUGGAGGAAGAAGGUCUUCGGAUUGUAAACUCCUGUUGUUGGGGAAAAAGAGGAUGGUACCCAACAAGGAAGUGACGGCUAACUACGUGUCAGCAGCCGCGGUAAUCUGAGGCGGGCUGGCAAGGC